UAGUAAUUAAAUUACAUGAUCACUAGAUUCACUUACUAUAUAAACAAUGUAGAAAAUUUCAUAAUAUAUCACACAAAUUAACUUCAAAUUUCCUCUAGUUCUUCUUGUCUUUAACUAUCCAGGGCCAAAAAUUAAAAUUAUGAGGUUCAUUAUGGUGGUUGUGUUAGUCAUGUUGGUGAUGACAACGACUUCUAGCUUUGCCACGAGUAGGAAUCUAAUCGAGAAUAACAAAGACGAUAAUAAGGUUUUUUCGCAGGAAGAAAGUAAAAGUGUUGAUAAUCACCAUUAUAUACCUAGGCAAGAAUUCAACAAUGGUGACGGGGGCGUUAAUCCUAUAGGAACGAGGACAUGAUCAUACAGAUUGAAUUCUGCAGAACUCGUAACUAAUACAAGAUCUUAACCAAACCUAAUAACUUAUUAUAAUUAAUGUAUAUAGAUAUGUUUGCAUGUUACUAUGCGUAUUUUAAUUAAGGGGUGGUACGUAAGUAGAAAUAAUAAUAGUAAACCUUCAUGGUUUUACGUAGUGAAUAUAUAUGGUACUAAUAAUUAAUAGACUUUAAUAAUGUUCUUUGCUUUUGUCUAAUAAUGUUGUAGUGGAUAGUGUUGUGUAAUUUUUAUGUUGAAGUUUUGUCCUUUGUUUGUAUAAAUAAAAAGAAGGUUGGGA